rnacentral:rRNA from 1 species
UACGGGGGGGGGCAAGCGUUGUUCGGAAUUACUGGGCGUAAAGGGCUCGUAGGUGGCCAACUAAGUCAGACGUGAAAUCCCUCGGCUUAACCGGGGAACUGCGUCUGAUACUGGAUGGCUUGAGUUUGGGAGAGGGACGCGGAAUUCCAGGUGUAGCGGUGAAAUGCGUAGAUAUCUGGAGGAACACCGGUGGCGAAGGCGGCGUCCUGGACCAACACUGACGCGUGAGGAGCGAAAGCGUGGGGAGCGAACGAGG